rnacentral:rRNA from 1 species
UAUCGGAUUGAUACUAAGCCAUGUGAGUCGUUGUAGCAAUACAAGGCAUACGGCUCAGUAACACGUAGUCAAUCUAACCUAUGGACGGGGAUAACCUCGGGAAACUGAGGAUAAACCCCGAUAGAUCAUAAUGCCUGGAACGGUUUAUGGUUCAAAUGAUUCGUCGCCGUAGGGUGGGACUGCGGCCUAUCAGCUUGUUGGUGAGGUAAUGGCCCACCAAGGCUAUUACAGGUACGGGCUCUGAGAGGAGUAGCCCGGAGAUGGGUACUGAGACACGGACCCAGGCCCUAUGGGGCGCAGCAGGCGAGAAACCUUUGCAAUGUGCGCAAGCACGACAAGGUUAAUCCGAGUGUUUCCUGCUAAAGGAAUCUUUUGCUAGUCCUAAAAACACUAGUGAAUAAGGGGUGGGCAAGUUCUGGUGUCAGCCGCCGCGGUAAAACCAGCACCUCAAGUGGUCAGGAUGAUUAUUGGGCCUAAAGCAUCCGUAGCCUGCUUUGUCAGUUUUCGGUUAAAUCCAUACGCUCAACGUAUGGGCUGCCGGGAAUACUGCAAAGCUAGGGAGUGGGAGAGGUAGACGGUACUCGGUAGGAAGGGGUAAAAUCCUUUGAUCUAUUGAUGACCACCUGUGGCGAAGGCGGUCUACCAGAACACGUCCGACGGUGAGGGAUGAAAGCUGGGGGAGCAAACCGGAUUAGAUACCCCGGGUAGUCCCAGCUGUAAACU